rnacentral:rRNA from 1 species
GACGAACGCUGGCGGCGUGCUUAACACAUGCAAGUCGAACGGAAAGGCCCUGCUUUUGUGGGGUGCUCGAGUGGCGAACGGGUGAGUAACACGUGAGUAACCUGCCCUUGACUUUGGGAUAACUUCAGGAAACUGGGGCUAAUACCGGAUAGGAGCUCCUGCUGCAUGGUGGGGGUUGGAAAGUUUCGGCGGUUGGGGAUGGACUCGCGGCUUAUCAGCUUGUUGGUGGGGUAGUGGCUUACCAAGGCUUUGACGGGUAGCCGGCCUGAGAGGGUGACCGGCCACAUUGGGACUGAGAUACGGCCCAGACUCCUACGGGAGGCAGCAGUGGGGAAUAUUGCACAAUGGGCGGAAGCCUGAUGCAGCAACGCCGCGUGCGGGAUGACGGCCUUCGGGUUGUAAACCGCUUUCGCCUGUGACGAAGCAUGAGUGACGGUAAUAGGUAAAGAAGCACCGGCUAACUACGUG